AUUGAACGCUGGCGGCAGGCCUAACACAUGCAAGUCGAACGAGUGGCGGACGGGUGAGUAAUGUCUGGGAAACUGCCUGAUGGAGGGGGAUAACUACUGGAAACGGUAGCUAAUACCGCAUACCAUCAGAUGUGCCCAGAUGGGAUUAGCUAGUUGGUGGGGUAACGGCUCACCAAGGCGACGAUCCCUAGCUGGUCUGAGAGGAUGACCAGACACACUGGGACAGAGAAACGGUCCAGACUCCUACUGGAGGCAGAAGGGGGGAAUAUUGAACAAUGGGCGCAAGCCUGAUGCAGCCAUGCCGCGUGUAUGAAGAAGGUCUUAGGGUUGUAAAGUACUUGCAGCGGGGAGGCGUUACGCGCAGAAGAAGCACCGGCUAACUCCGUGCCAGCAGCAGCGGUAAUAC
rnacentral:rRNA from 1 species